rnacentral:rRNA from 1 species
AUUGAACGCUGGCGGCAUGCCUUACACAUGCAAGUCGAACGGCAGCAUGGAGAGCUUGCUCUCUGAUGGCGAGUGGCGAACGGGUGAGUAAUGCAUCGGAACGUACCGUGUCAUGGGGGAUAACGUAGCGAAAGUUACGCUAAUACCGCAUACGACCUGAGGGUGAAAGCAGGGGAUCGCAAGACCUUGCGUUAUACGAGCGGCCUAUGUCAGAUUAGCUAGUUGGUGAGGGAAAGGCUCACAAAGGCGACGAUCUGUAGCGGGUCUGAGAGGAUGAUCCGCCACACUGGGACUGAGACACGGCCCAGACUCCUACGGGAGGCAGCAGGUGGGAAUUUUGGACAAUGGGGGCAACCCUGAGCCAGCCAUGCCGCGUGAGUGAAGAAGGCCUUCGGGUUGUAAAGCUCUUUCGGCGGGGAAGAAAUGGCAACGGCUAAUAUCCGUUGUUGAUGACGGUACCCGCAUAAGAAGCACCGGCUAACUACGUGCCAGCCGCCGCCGUAA